rnacentral:rRNA from 1 species
UCCGUAGGCGGGCGUCUAAGUCAGUGGUGAAAUCUUACAGCCCAACUGUAAAAUUGCCAUUGAUACUGGAUGUCUUGAAUUAGUGUGAAGUGGUUAGAAUGUGUAGUGUAGCGGUGAAAUGCAUAGAUAUUACACAGAAUACCAAUUGCGAAGGCAGAUCACUAACACUAUAUUGACGCUGAGGGACGAAAGCGUGGGGAGCGAACAGGAUUAGAUACCCUGGUAGUCC